CCUACGGGGGGCAGCAGUCGAGAAUCAUUCACAAUGGGGGAAACCCUGAUGGUGCGACGCCGCGUGGGGGAAUGAAGGUCUUCGGAUUGUAAACCCCUGUCAUGUGGGAGCAAAUUAAAAAGAUAGUACCACAAGAGGAAGAGACGGCUAACUCUGUGCCAGCAGCCGCGGUAAUACAGAGGUCUCAAGCGUUGUUCGGAAUCACUGGGAGGAAAGCGUGCGUAGGCUGUUUCGUAAGUCGUGUGUGAAAGGCGCGGGCUCAACCCGCGGACGGCACAUGAUACUGCGAGACUAGAGUAAUGGAGGGGGAACCGGAAUUCUCGGUGUAGCAGUGAAAUGCGUAGAUAUCGAGAGGAACACUCGUGGCGAAGGCGGGUUCCUGGACAUUAACUGACGCUGAGGCACGAAGGCCAGGGGAGCGAAAGGGAUUAGAUACCCGUGUAGUC
rnacentral:rRNA from 1 species